rnacentral:rRNA from 1 species
AACGAACGCUGGCAGCAUGCCUAACACAUGCAAGUCGAGCGCCUGUAGCAAUACAGGAGCGGCGCACGGGUGAGUAACGCGUGGGAACCUGCCCUUAGGUUCGGAACAACCGCGGGAAACUGCGGCUGAUACCGGAUGAUGUCUUCGGACCAAAGAUUUAUCGCCUUUGGAGGGGCCCGCGUCGGAUUAGGUAGUUGGUGAGGUAACGGCUCACCAAGCCUGCGAUCCGUAGCUGGUCUGAGAGGAUGACCAGCCACACUGGGACUGAGACACGGCCCAGACUCCUACGGGAGGCAGCAGUGGGGAGUAUUGGACAAUGGGGGCAACCCUGAUCCAGCAAUGCCGCGUGGGUGAUGAAGGCCUUCGGGUUGUAAAGCCCUUUCGGCGGGGACGAUGAUGACGGUACCCGCAGAAGAAGCCCCGGCUAACUUCGUGCCAGCAGCCGCAGUAAUAC